GUGAGGAAUAUUGCGCAAUGGAGGCAACUCUGACGCAGCCAUGCCGCGUGCAGGAAGAAGGCGCUACGCGUUGUAAACUGCUUUUAACCGGGAAGAAACCCCAGGACGUGUCCUGGGUUGACGGUACCGGAGGAAUAAGCACCGGCUAACUUCGUGCCAGCAGCCGCGGUAAUACGAAGGGUACAAGCGUUAUCCGGAUUCAUUGGGUUUAAAGGGUGCGUAGGCGGAGCGUUAAGUCAGUGGUGAAAUCCUGCAGCUUAACUGUAGACUUGCCAUUGAUACUGGCGCUCUUGAGUGCGCUUGAAGUGGGCGGAAUGUGCCGUGUAGCGGUGAAAUGCUUAGAUAUGGCACAGAACACCAAUUGCGAAGGCAGCUCACUAAGGCGAUACUGACGCUGAGGCACGAAAGCGUGGGGAUCGAACAGGAUUAGAAACCCUGGUAGUCC
rnacentral:rRNA from 1 species